AGACAGGCUCAGCUCCCAGCUGCAACUGGCAGGUCUGAGGCUCAGUUCUCACAGAAGAGCAAACCCACCAAGGGCAGCGCUCGCCUCCGGAGCCAUGUGCUGGCCUGGGGAGCCUGCCACCUCGAGGGCCCAACAACUUCUCAGAGUGGGGGAGGGGCCCGGCAUCUCCUGAGCCGCAGCUCCCCGAAGCUCCUGGCUGAUAUCCACCGACCUGUGAUGUCAUCCACAAACACAUGGAAGGCAAAAGUGCCUCUCCCUGGGAAUGAAAGGGCAGGGGCUGGGCUAGUCACCGCAUGGGAAGCAGAAACCAGACACAGACAGAGAGAGCACCCAGAAGAAAUCAGAGCACAGCCAAACUUCUAAUCAGGAGAAGAAAAGCUAUGGAUUCCUUCAAAAUGAAUGAAAAUCAGAUUUGAUCAGGGGAGACCCCCUGAAGAUCCUGACUGCAGACAUGAAAGAAAUCAAGAAUACCAACAAAACAGACAGGUCAGCUCCAGGCAGCACCCCCAUUCUACUUCAUAGAAGAUGAUGAGCAUCGAGAACCUCUGUACGGAGUUUGCUUCAAAUGUGGCAAACAAGCCACUGGGCAAGAAACUGCCCUUGCUUCAGCCGCUGACAGUAUGCUGUCCAAACUGGACCAACAGGAUGCAGGCAAGUCAACUGCUGAGCUUCUCAGGGACAGGGUAGGCAAGUCCUUCAUAGCUCCUGCUCCCCAGAGUGUCUGUCAGAUAUUCUGAACGAGGGCUGUGAUGGUGCUCCAAUGACUCAGGGAGAUGUCACGUGACUGUGCAGGCAGCCAGCCGUCUGUCAUGUCUAUAGAUUUGGAAACUGCUUCAUCUGCACUGCCUGUACCUGUAUACUCAGCUAGUUUCAUUCCUUCUCGGGUCUCUGACAGGGCUGAAGACUAGAUAGUUACAGUCUUAAGCUUAAAUGGUUUAGGAUUUGAGAAAAUGUUUUACGGUCUAAGAAGCUAUUCUUAGGUUUAUAAAUGCAAAUUUUGAUAGAAAAUGAUUUAUGUACAGAGCUCUAACUCACUAAGACAGGAGAGAUGGUAGAGUACUUUUUCCAAGGUUGCUAAAUACAAAUGGACUGGAUGUUCUGAAAGUAAUUCUUACAUGAUAGUUAUCAUGAUUAUUCUUAUCAUACAUAGUUUACUGAUGUUAGAGAAAGAGCCUUUCGUUGAACUAAAAGGGAGAGAUGUAGAGAGAAUUUCUUGUGUACUGUGUGGAAGAAUUGCCUGUCAAUAAAAAGCUGAUGGCCUAUUAGCAAGAGGCAGGAAAGAAGAGGUGAGAGUUCUGGUAAAGAGAUAGGAACUCUGGGGAGUUAGUCAGGCCUGAGGAGACAGCCACCCAGGCUCUGAGGAGACAGAUAUAUGAAACUGAGGGGAGGUAACCAACCAUGUGGCACACAGAAUAGAAUAAACAGGUUAUAUGAGUUAUGAGCUAGUCAGGGAACAGCCCCAAGCUCACGCUAGGCAUUUAUUCAUACACAAAAAACUUCCAAGUUGUUACUCAGGAACUGGGCCAGGUAGAAAGACCGCAGUGACACCUCUCCAUGCUCCCCACCUGCCUGUGGACUGGAUGUAGCUCUCAACUACUUCUCCAGCAUGUCUCCAGCCUGCCUGCCACCAUGCUCCCCACCAUAAUGAUAAAAGACUAACCCUCUGAAAAGGGAAACAAGACCAUAGUUAAAUGCUUUCUCUUUUGCAGGAGUUGCCCUGGUCCCAGUGUCUCUUCACAACAGUGAACAGUGUCUAAACAGGUUUCAAAUUUUGAUUGGUUGGAUGAAGCAUCUAUCAAAAGAUGGCUUAUUGAAAGAGUUGGAGAUGCCUGAUACCCCUUGGCUUAGUGCUGCUGAAGGGAUUUUAAGGCUCAGGGAAUUGCAGUGCUCGAGUGGGUACGCUGUGUAAAACCUCCACAACGUGAAGGCCCAGAAGACACGCCCUUCACAAAUCCUGUAAGACACAAAAUGGUGCACCAGCACAUUUGAAGAGUUUUGCCCUUUUCCUUGUGCCAGACCUAAGGGCUGGAGAUGCUGCUGCUCAGUGGAUGAAUUAAAUGCAAUGGGUUUAACUGGGGCACAGAGUAGCAGGGCCAGGUGGCAGCACUGAAUUAACUAAGGCAAGGUGAUCAUAGUUAUUCCAAUGAGCAGCACAACAACAAAGCAAUGAUCGUAAUAGCCUGCCAUGAUGGUCAGCACAGGCAAAGUGAAUUUUAGGGUGGCAUGACUGGUAUGGACUUAGGUACUGGGUAACCAACCAUGGUGUUUCCAGGCAUGAAACAGGAAGCCUACUAUGUAAGAGGAAAAUUUCUCAAACAAAUAAAAGGCUUACAUUAAGUCAUGAUCAAGAGAGAAUCUCAACCUGUGAACCAAUUUCUAGAGUUGAGCCAGUUUGCAGACCCAGAUCUCCUUGAAUGAGGGAGUGGCCAAGUUCCACUGAUUAAGGACCUUGAUAAGACACCUAAAAGUUUUACUGUUAGUCUUUCUCCUGUCCUUCCCCAGAGGGACCUACGGGCUUUUAGAAGGGAAAUUGUACACGAGGGGAAGGAAACUAUCAGACUUCCUGAGGUCUACUGAAUGCUGUUCUGAACUGACCCUGGUUCUGGGAAACCCCUAGAGACAUGGUGGCCCAUCAGUUAAAGUCAGAGCUUAUGAUAGGAGCCAGGUGAUUAAUGGAGUUUAGGCUAAAGUCUGACUCAUAGUAGGCUCAGGGAGAGCCUGAAUUUCUCCUGUGGUUAUUUCCCAAGUCCCAGAAUGUAUAAUCGGGAUAGAUAUACUUAGAAGUUGGCAGAGUUCUCACACUGGUUCCCUGGUCUGUGGUGUGAGGGCUAUUAUGGCUGGAAAGGCUAAAUGGAAGUCUUUAGAGUUGCCUCUCUACCAUGGAAAAUAGUGAAUCCAGGAACAAGUGUCACCGUCAAGGACUUGGGAGACAAAGCGGGGAGAGGGGCUCCCAGGUCUCCCUUUAGCCCUCCUACCUGGCCUGUACAGAAUAUUUUGGUAAGAACCUGUUUGCACAGAUAUUUGUGUUUUCUUCACUAAGUUUCUUUAUCAUACAGUGUAUCAUCAAUUGAGAUAAUAUCAAUGGUUCUCACAUUUAAGUUAUGAGGUAUUAAAGUAACUUUCCUCAAAGGACAUUGCCACCUAUUCUAAAAUGUAUAAUGAAUUUGUGGUUGUACAUGUUCAAGUUAUAAAUUA